rnacentral:lncRNA from 2 species
GACAUCCUCGAUGGUCACAUCUGGGUCGGAGCUGCCCCUCCCCUCGCCCGGCCGCCUCAAAAAACCCAAGCUUUUGCCGCCGCCCCGACUGGCUGACCAUCCCAAGAAAGAAGGCACCUCCUCGUCGCCUCUGCUGCCUCCACACUGCCCGCGGCGUGAGGGCCCUAGACCUCCGGGAGGGCUCCGGCGAGGUCCCGGCGGACCGCGAGUUGGAAAUGCAAUUAACAGAUUCAAAUAUUCAAUUCGCUUCUUGAUUGAGCAAGUUAUAGAGCGGCGAGAUGUCCUCGAGGGCAUCACGCUAGGCAACGCCCUGGAGAAGGAGAAGAGCAAGCUACGUGGCGGCGAUGACCCGUCGCGCUGGUCCGACGAGAAGAGCGGCAGCGGCAGGGAGUGGUCAAGCCUGGGAUGGCACGGCGAUCCUCGGCACGAGCAAGCGGUACUGCGCAUAUGCGAGGAAGGCUCGUUUGGCGACGGACGGCCGUGGCAGUCCGAGGGUUGGCGGGGAGAGGAGGGGCGGCAAGCCGGCGGCGGGUUCGGCCUGGUCAACGGCGAAUCGGCGAUGGCGGGGCGGCUGGGUCCAACGAUGAGCUCCGUGAGGGAGGAGGCGAGCUCCUUGUGCUCCGACGGAGGAGGGGCUCCCACUCCGUCCCCUCGUACUCGGGUUCCGGCGACGAGAACG